AAACUACUCCUUUCGUUCGAAAUUAUUUGUCGCAGAAAUGGAUGUAUCUAAACGUAUUUUAAUUCUAGAUACAUUCAUUUUCGAGACAAGUAAUUUCGAACGGAGGAAGUAGACG
rfam:Triticum urartu cultivar G1812 contig960630, whole genome shotgun sequence.